GACGAACGCUGGCGGCGUGCUUAACACAUGCAAGUCGAACGGAAAGGCCCUGCUUUUGUUGGUUGCUCGAGUGGCGAACGGGGGUGUAACACGUGUGUAUCCUGCCCUUGUCUUUGGGAUAACUUCUGGAAACUCGGGCUAUUAUCCGAUAUGAUCUCUUGCUGCAUGUUGGUGGUUGGAAAGUUUCGGCUGUUGUGGAUGGACUCGCGGCUUAUCCGCUUGUUGGUGGGGUAGUGGCUUACCAGGGCUUUGACGGGUAGCAUGCCUGAGAGGGUGAACGGGGACAAUAGGACUGAGAUAGGGCCCAGAAUGCUACGGGAGGCAGCAGGGGGAAGUAUUACGCAAUGAGCGGAAGCGAGAUGCAGAGACGCCGCGAGCGGGAUGACGGGCUACGGGUUAAAAACCGAUUUGGAAUGAGACGAAGCGUGAGUGACGGUAAUGAGUAAAGAAGCAACGGCUAACUACGUG
rnacentral:rRNA from 1 species